rnacentral:lncRNA from 1 species
GAUAGAAUAAAAUGGAGGGUGUGAAGGACCUCCAUGAAAACCAAACCCAUUGAAUGUGUGUAUUGUAAUUCAGGCAAAAUGUAAAAGAAAAGCAUCUAGGCUAUACUAAGAUUAAUACAUUUUCUUAAGUUAAUAUUUUGCUCAUCUAUAUCUUUAUAUGUUGUACCACUUAUAUUAUCAAAGUAAAAUUGGAUAACAAGAAGUACCACUAUUUUAUGAUAUAUUAUUUGUUUGACUUAACUA